rnacentral:snRNA from 1 species
ACCUCUGACUGGCCGCCUGGGCCUUCAUACUUACCCAGUUUAAUAUCUGAUACGUCCCCUACCCGGGGACGUACAUAUUAAAUUGAUUUUUGGAUCACGGAGCUGGAGCCGGGGCUUGCUCUGUCCACUCCACGCAUCGGCCUGGUAUUGCAGUGUUUCCAGGAACGGUGUGCUUCCC